GGACGACCGGCUUUUAUAGAGGCCUGCCCUCGGCGCGUGCUUCUGUGGCACGGGGCGGGGAUUGUGGCAGCUCGAGGACACAACGUGCUGUUGUUCUGGAACUCGGUGAAACCAGAGGAGGCUUUGGACCCGUUGAUAAAUUAGGAGGGAGGAGCUAGGCCAAUCCUGAGGGUACCUCAUAUUUGCCAGUCUCCUGGUGAGGGCCACGCCCAUAUUGGACAGUGCAGAAGAUGUCACCUGGCCUGCAUGAGAGAGACUCUCCCGUGUCCUCACAUAUCUACAGCUGUUGUCAAACAUCUGACUGACUCUUUGUGAGUGGGACGAUCUACCAACUGGGGUGUCACGCCUGGAUAAACCACAGGGAAAGUAGGGCAGAUACCUUGGGGCCAUGAAGCAUCCAGGGGCCCCUGAAAAACACUGCCUUUUCUUUUACAACAUCUUUCUAAUUUUAACCGGAUUUUGUUCCACAGCCAUAGCAAUCAUUUUUAAUGUUAUUAGUUCUUCCUGUAGAAGCUGGUUUUUCUGCUAUUUCAAAAUAUCUGCCAUGAAAAAUGUCUAUAUUAGUAAUUCAUAGGGCACUUAGAUGCAAUACCCCACUUCUACAAAUGAUAGUACGCCACUGACCAAUAGAAACCCUCACACUACCAUAACUCCGAUACUCGCUCAAAUAUAUACAUUAUUUAUUUUAACUCCUCCUUUUGCAUUGUUUAAGCACAUGCAAUUCAAUUUAACUGUAUAUUUAAGUAACAUUAUAGUCAGGGAUUGGCUGCAGUAUAGCUCAUCCUCCUUGGCACAUUAAUUAUACCUUUUGUUUAUGCCCUCUCACAAUUUUAUAUUGCACAUUUUGUUCUUGAUGUCUCGUGAUGCUUGUGCCUUACAUUCAUAUUGGAUGAUUCCACACCUCAUGAUUUACGUCCAAUGCCAGCGUCCAGUGCCAUAACAGGAAGUUUGUCCCCUUCAUGUACAGAGGAAGAUAGGUAGAUGGGUGCGCAACUUU